UACGUAGGGUCCGAGCGUUGUCCGGAAUUACUGGGCGUAAAGAGCUCGUAGGUGGUUUGUCGCGUUGUCCGUGAAAACUCACAGCUUAACUGUGGGCGUGCGGGCGAUACGGGCAGACUGGAGUACUGCAGGGGAGACUGGAAUUCCUGGUGUAGCGGUGGAAUGCGCAGAUAUCAGGAGGAACACCGGUGGCGAAGGCGGGUCUCUGGGCAGUAACUGACGCUGGAGGAAGCGAA
rnacentral:rRNA from 1 species